CCGCCCGCCCGGCCCCGCGCCGCGGGACGCGGCCAAAGGUGCGUCCUGCCCGCGCUCCCAGGCAGCGCCCUCGGUCACGUUUUUGUCAAAAUAUUGGCACCGGUUCUGCAAGUGGCUCCCGAAUGGUUUCGGUGCGAUAGACACAAUGCUGUUUGCCCGGGGUUCUCAAGGUUUACACCAGCUGCCUGCCUCCAGCCAACACAGGACUUACACAGGAAGGUAAAGGAGAGAGAAAGUGGUCAUGUCAUGAAAGACAGCUAGAAGAGUAUGGGAAGUACACAGAGCUCUGAUCCCAGCUGGCAUUUGCUGCAUGUGGACAAAGCACAGAAAGUUUUCCAAGUCCAUUUCAGAAUAUCGGAUGCCCUUAAAGGUUUGAAAGGACUUAUCAGUCAGCAACUUUGGAAGAGCAUUUCAAACCCACUGCCAAAACAAUGGGUCAGCUAAAUACUCUGCAUGUUUAGUGCCACAUCUGAGUUUUUGCAUAUGAGUGAAACUGCAGCUCCGGGACGAUUCAGGGAGUUUUCUCUGCAGAGUAAUUUUGGUUCUUGUCCUGAUUUCUCUCCAGCCUUUCCACUGCUAUUACAGCUCUGGUAUCCUAUAGCAAGUAAGAACAUAACAUUACAACUGUUCACACGUGGGAGAUGGAGGAACUGCAUUAAGAGCCCAUCAGAUAGGAAAGUAAGAGGCUGCUUAGGUUUGUAUGGAGCCACUUCCAAGUUUAGCAAACUGGGCUAGAGUGCCUUGGCCCAGGUUGAACUCCGUACUGCUAGGUUUGUAAUGGCUCUAAGCAAUUCUUUUCUACCUUGUCUUUAAAUGUUUAUCACCCAGGGGUUCAGGCAUAGCCUGCUUUGUUUCUGUUGUAUUCCUCUCCUUUCUCCAUGCUUAAGGGGCAGCCUGAGAAAUUGCAGCACAUGCUUUCCCCUGCUCUGCAGUUGCCUGAGCUUUCAUGUUGCCAGUCCCUUGCCCUCCUUUGCUCACGUGUCUGUCAGCUGGCUCACAUCCAUCUCUCAGUGCUUCUAUCUGAUAAGACUGGUGCUGUUUAGAUACAUUUUGGGAAGUGUCAGAAAAUAUCCAAGGAGACAUAAUUCUUUUUUCAGUCAUCUUUACUUCUAAUUUCUUAGUCGGGAAACCUUGAUCUUCAAAUUCUGCUUCUCCAGCAGUCACCACCAUUUUUGCCUCCUCCUAUCUCUCCCUUCACUUCCCCUUCAAAAACAGGAAUAACUGGCUUAGUGCUCCUACUUAGAGCAUGAGGUCCAAUGGGCAUGUGGAACACCACACAUGAAGUAGGAACUGCUCUGAGAAAAAAAAAGGAUGUUGCUGGCCCUUUGAGGCAGACCUCUGCCUUUCUGCUUUCCUCUGUUGAAUUAUCUCUAACUGCCACAAGUUUUAGACUUGGUGUGAGAACCAUAUGGAAGGGAAGAAGUAUCCCAGACCCAAGAUGCAAGUCUAUGGAUUGCAAAACAGGAGGCCAAACACCAAAACAUCAUCUAACAAAAGUUUCUUUUGUUCCUGAUGACUCCUUGCUUCCCUCACAUGCUGCUUAUCUGGGUGAAGAAUCAUGGCUGGAAUUUAUAAAUGCUUCUCUGUUGUGCAAAGGAGCUUUGAUAGCAUGAAAUGAAUAACAGCUUUUUAACAUUUCAAGCAGAAGUGGAAGAAGAUGAAUGGACUAUGAUUGCUGUCUGAACAGGUUGGCCCUGUAGGGACAGGUUUCAAGUGGCACCCAUGUGGGAUACAGGCAGCAUGUGGAAUACAGGGCCUGAAGGAGAUGCUCAGCACCCACCAUUAUAGGAUUUUGCUUUUUUCUUGACUUUGAGAAAUGGCUGUGAGUGCUGGCUGAUUGCUCUGUUGCUUACAGAACUGUCUGGACUUUCAGAGAACUAAUUUAAGCUGGCAGAACACAUACUGCUGUAUAAGGUUCUGCUUUUUAAACACUGACCUCAGGAGAAGCUCUGCAGCAUGAGAAGGUUAUUAUAGGACUGGACACCUUGAGUCCCUUGGGGUAAAUCACUACAGUGUCUCAGUUACCAGUUAAGUCCUUGUGUUCUGGUGAAAACAGUGGAGCUUGUUCUCACUGGUGUAGUAUCUGAGACACCAAGUUUAAUGAAUCGUUACAAAUAGUUUAAUCUGCACUUGCAGGUGCUAUUAAAACUGAGAUUGUUUGGGUUUUUUGUAUUUUUCUUUUCCAAGAGAAUUUUCUUACCUAGGAAAAACAGUCUUUCUCAGGCACAAUGGUUUAAAUACGGAGUAGUGAGUUAGGUUUUGCUCAUUAGAAAGCCUGAUGCUGAAUUCAAUAUUCCCUUCUGCUAAACUUACCUCCUCCAGGAUUUCAGACUCUAAGUUGCAGAGGAUAAAACAUAAGGCCCUGGUUAAUUGCAAAUAAAUAGUGCCAGAAAAAUAUACAGAUGGUACCUGAAGUUCAUUUCUGAAGACUAUCCAGUUAACUAUAUAUAAUUUACAUGAAAAGUAUGUAGAGUAAGGAGGAGAACAAAUUUUUUUUGUUUUCUUACAUUUCUAAAACAACAAAACAGCAAAAAAAGAAAUAAUAAAUGAAUACCCUCUGUCACUGAAACUUCUUGACUGGGAAAAGAGCAACCUGUAUUUCUAUUUAUUUACCUUAAUCAAAUUAAUUAAUUUAACAAGUUUGAAAAAUUCAGGAUUCUACAGGAUACAGGUAUAAAUAUCUGGCAAGUAGAGUGUAUAUAUUAAACUACAUCUACUAGGCUAGUAAAUAUUUUGCUGCAUUAGUUUGCUCAUUCCCAAGCAAUCAGUUAUGAACUCCAGUGUUGUAACGGGUCCACAGGGAACAUUUGUGCUUUGGUUGGCACUUAGAUUAAAUUCAUCAAAUUAUUUUUUUCCCAGUUCAAGGCUGACAUUUCAGAAUUUUUUUUUAAAAGGUUGUGUGCCAACUGCCAAAGUCAAUUAAUUAAAUGGUAAAUCUGAAAUUUGUAGGGGAAAACUAUCAUUCCCUUUUGCUGUGCGACCUUGGAAAUGUGAACAUUUAAUCCACUAAACACAUGGUUUACCAGAGGGUCCUGAUCUGCUUGCACUGAAAGUAAAAAGCAAAGCUUGCUGCUAUGUUUUGGGAGAUUAGGGAUUACCUCAAGGAUGGCAUUUUACCCUGAAUUUUCCUUCUGAUUUUGAUACUUGGUAGUAAUGACAAUAUUCUUUGAAGUCCUGUUAUGCUUGAGAGCUUUAAGUAUUCAGCACUUAGUAGGAGGAAGCAGUGCAAAUUUGUGGAUUCAUUUUCCAUAUAUUUGAUGCAGAUGAGGGUAGGAUGUACAGUCCCAGAAUUUGCUGGCCAAAGAGCUCCAUCUUAGAUCUUUAAAGGAAAUCUUAGAGGCAAAAUUCAACAGACUUGAGCAGAUGGUGAUCACAUUCCUACACAGCAGAAGUAUUACAAAUCUUUCCCAAAACCCACACCUUCCAAGGAGUGUAUCUACCCUCAUUGUCAGCAAAGGCAGUCUGGCAGACUGGACUGGAUCUUGCUCUUCUGGAUCCUACUCUGUAUGUCUCUUUGUGGACAUCUCAGUGGACUUCUCAUCUCUUAUUUGAAGCAUUGUCAUCUGAAGGUGCUUGAAAAUGAGUGCAAUGUGCUGACUGUUCUUUGGGUGUUAAUUCUCUGUCAUUAGUUUAUAUUGAUUUGUGUUUGUUUAUUUGCUCCCUGCCUGAAAACGUGCGUGGAUGAGAACCCUCUCUUUGGGGCCCUGUAUAUGUGUGGACUAGAAACACAGCACAAAACCAAUGUAAAAGACAGUAAAAACAGUGAAUAGGAUAGAUAGGUCUAGGCAGACCAGAUACAUGACCAGGUGCAUGACUUCUCUUCCUUUACCAUUUGAAAUUCUUUUAUUCUGUGUUUUGCUAUGAUUUUAAGUUCAAGAUUUUUUUUCAGCCUUCCCACUCCCCAUUGUUUAAUAAAAUUACAUGUUAUUUCUUUAGGAAGAAAAAAGAUUCCUAAACAGAUUGGUUUCUGCACAUUCAGAAAUUUGUUGGGAUUUGGUCCCUAAUGAGGGGGGCUACAGUUUAAGGAAGGACACAGAUUAGCCAUCAGUAGUAGGGAAAAAUGGUGGAAACUGCUAGUUCCAAGGGUGUUUCUUAAAUACUGGCCUUGUGGGUGUGUAGGCACUAUGCAUAUUAAGAUAUAGGAAGCUAAUUCUUAGGAUUUAUAAUCUUGUGCCUUCUCCUAUCCCUUUGCUUUAUAUAGUGAAUAUAUAUCAGUUAUAUCUGUCAAAGCCUGAAGAGCGGUUCUUGGAAUUGUCCUGUCUGUCCAGAUAUAGGCCAUUUGGCAGAAAAGAAAUCUGAUGUCCUCCUAUGGAAAAUGUUCCUCCUUGUGAAAGAGACUUAAGAGAUGGGGGCCCAGAGGGACCAAGUCACCUAUGAAUGAGCAGAAGUGGGAGUUCUUCAACUCUGCUUUUCUGAAAUACUAUUACUGUAUUUAGUCUUGGGGAUAUUUGAUGUAAAACAUAAGCAAGAAUGCCUUCAGGAAGAAGAUAAAUUAAGGAUGCCAAGCUGUGGAUAAUGCUUGGAGUCAAAGCUAUUUUUGAUUCCUGGGUUCUUUAUACUGUAAAAUUGAAGCGUUUCUAUCUAUGUCUAGAAGGAGAAUCACUGACAUGACUAGGGAAACUUUAGUCUUAACUUGAAGAACUUCAGAUGGUGCAAAGGCUAAGCAGUAGAUGAGGGAAAAUUUAGAAUAUUGAAUUAAAUAUUAUCUGAGGCAUCUAAGUGUUGGAUUGGGUCUAAAAUUCAGCUAACGUGUGUCUAAAUUUCCUUGCUGGAGGAUGGAUUUGUUGAUAUUUCUCUCAGAGCAAUGUUGAGCAGUGAAAUGUGUCAAGUGAUCAUUUAUUACGGUAAUAACUGUACCAUGUGUGGACUUACAGAGAUGGAACUGUGUUUUCAAUGUCUUGUAAAUUUGGCAGAGGACAAAUCUGUGAAUGCUCCUAGGUGAUCACUAGAUUACCAAGUUUUCCUGAACCAGUGGUGGUUAUCUAUAUAGUUUCUGUGCAAAAUGCCUGUAUCUCCCUGUGAUAUAUGAAUCCAGUUUUACAGGAGAUAAUGAAACAUGAAAGAACAAAACAUUGUAGUUUUUUCCCCCUAAUGUUGUAUCUCAGCAUUGUCUCCAUCAGUAGCCUUGUCCGCAGGAAGUGUAAAGUUUCCUGCUAUGAUUGUUUGACUGCUGCCAAUUAUCAGAUCUGCUUUUGGCAGCUUUCCCUCCCAACCUGCUGAUUAGCUAAUGUGUGCUUACUAAUACAAUAUGGGAAACUGGUGUAAAUGAAGGAGCAAAAGAUUUAUUAAUUUCAUGUGCUAAUUACUGUUUGUAAUAUAAUUAUCAAUACUGCAAAAAGAAAUCCUGGCUUAAGAAAUAGCCAGGUUUCAAUGUCUUGUGAAAUGAGGCACAAGAAUUUUGUGCAGGAAACAGGUAUAUUUUCCCCUUGAUACAUGCACAUAAUUUUCAUUAGAUUCAUAGGUUUCAAAGGCAGAAGAGAGAUCAUUAGAGCUUGGAGCCUAACUACCUGUAAAACACAGGCUAGAGGAUUUCAUCCAGGUACACUUUACCCGAGUUAAUAGAAAACAGGAGCCAGAUCCUGGACUGGAUGUUCAACAGUUUUACUCCACUAAGCUGGAAUAAUGGUGAUUUAUACCAGCUGAGAAAUUGGCAGUAGACUUAAAUGACAAUGGAUUCUUUUUUGCAUAAACCUAAAUGAAAAUGGUCACUUAUAUUUUAAUAGCUGUGUUGAAAGAGCCUUGCUGGGAGUGAGUUUUUGAAAAGUAUUUUAAGCUUUAGAAGAAAAUGAGGGCUUUUCCAAACCUUUAUGGGAUGAUUGUGUUCCCUGUUGCAAUUUAAACUUGUCCCUUCACUGAAGAAAAGACAUAAAUUUAGCAGAAAAAAAAAAUUCUUUUAAAAUUGAAACAUGUGCCAAGAGUCUUAUUUGUAAUUAAAUCAUGCACUAGGAUUUUAGUGGGGAAAGGAAGAACAAAAUAAUAUAAUAAAAAGCUGAAUAUUCUCAGAGCCAAGAGGAACUUGAACUCAAAUGUUUAAAGAUUAAAAGUCUCAAGAGCUAAAAAGUAGUCUCUGAUUUCUUUCAUUAGGAUGUAUAUUUGGCAAAACAAGAUGUCUCAUUACUCUUCUGUAACCAUCUGAAUGUGCGUGUGGAUGAUGUUAUUAUAUUUAUAGCAGAUACAGUCUUAUCAUUUAGGUACAGACAGAAUCCUACCUGUUCAGAGCUACAGGGUUUAAGAAUGCACUCAGACAAUAUUGACAUAGACAAUGCCAUAACAUCCUGCAAUCUGCACAGAAACUGAGACUUUGUGCACACCAAAGAUGAAUAAAAGAACUUCCUUCCUGCUCCCUUAAAAUGAGAGUGUUUAAAGGAAAAUACAAGUGUGGGGAGAAUAUCCUCCAGAUUCCCAAUAAAUUUCUGUCAGUUCUAUCUCAGGAGGAGGUGGUGGAGGCUUUUGUGUUUGGUGAUACAGAAAUCUGUGGCUAUCACAUCAACGUGUAGAAUAUGUAGAAAGAAAGACAACUUAUUUGAGCAGCUGCUUGUGUGGAUGGUAAGCAGAGAGAAUCUUGUCUCAUAAUAUUCCUAUUCUCAUUUAUAAUAAAUCAGCUGCUGGUUUGGCUGAUGAACAAUUUGAGGUGUUUUAUAUGUGAUGAAAAAAAACCUAAACAGAAUACAUAUUUUAAUACAUUCCCUAUAUUUUUUCCCUGAGUGUUUGUCUCCUUCAGAGACGGAUGUCUGUUUCAACAUGUCACAGUACAUUUUAAUGGCACUGUCACAUGGAGAAUAAACCUGAUAAUUUACUUCAGAGGUAAACAUCAGAAGACAUGGGCUGAACCAAAUUAACCCCAUCUCUUUUUCUCUUUGCUUUAAGCAGAAUUAGAACUCCCAAUCCUUCCUUGAAAAGCAGGGUUUCUUUUUGUCCUUUAUCCAGAAGGAUUUAAGUGUUCCCCAUCCUUGAGGAUCCUCAGGUAAUUCCAUCAUACCACUAAGUAUUUGGAAACAUCAGACUUGCCUACAAAGUCUGUAGCAACAUCACACCCUUCAGCCUGUUGCAGACAUCUGUCUCAUGAGGAACAUGCAGCUGCUGAACUGAACUUCCAUAAUGUCUAGGCCCAAAGUUAGUUCAGCACUCUGUAAGAAAACUGGGAAAAAAACCCACCUGAUUGUCUGUUUUAUGUAGCCAGGCAAGAGCAAACAUCUAUCAAUGCUAUCUUGGAUACUCUCCCUUUAUGAACAUCAGACCAUUAGCUCAUGUUAGAUAUUUCUGUAAAACAGAUCCUCAGGGGUGAAGCACUUGGAGCAGUGGCUCAUGAAGGAGAACAGCCCUUUGCAGCACCAUAUGAAGAGCUGAUGUACUGCAGCAUGUAGAGGCCACUGCCCCUUCUCAACCUGCCUCAUCAUUUCUGCCCAAGGGUGUGUGUAGAGUGUGCCAGCAUAUUUGCACUGUGAUCCAAGGAGAGACAAGAAAAAACAUGAGUUCCUUGCAGAAGCCAGGCAAGAGAGGCUCUGAUUGAGGUCUGGACUGAAUAUUGUGUAAUUGCAUGUUACUCAUUAUGACCCUGUGUUUAUUGCUUGGUUCAGUCUACAGCUCUCAGACCACUAUGCUGACUUCCAGGAAACUUAAAAAAUAUUGUUUCCCAAAAGCUGAAGUUGGGCUAUUGUCAUAGAAAAAAUAGCAGUCGUUUAUGGUCUUGUCAAAUUAAGUUCAACUUCAGUAAACAUAACAUGAAAUCUGUACUGGACAGCCUCACCAGUUAAUAAAAAGGUUUAUUCAGCCUAGUCCUACAUAAAUAUCAGUAAUAUAAUAUUCUGACCAUUGUAAGAGAAUUGCAUUCACAGAAGCUUUGCACUUUCAGCCUGAUGAAAAGUGAUAAAACAUCAGUGUAUAUAUAGUUCCAUUUUGUGUCAUUUGCUUGUGGAGUACUUCCUUCUCCCACUAAAAUUAAAAUUUAAAAGACUUUCACUUUUGAGGAAAAAAAAUCAUUGAAGAGAAAUUCUCCCUGGCAAAUUAAUAGAUAAGGUCUGCCAUGCUAACUCAAAAAAGCAAGCAAAAGGUAAAAAUUGAAUCUCUUUAUCACAUUUGAGUCAUUUUUCUAAACUGGGGAAGUAAUAUGGGGUGGAAUAUAUAGGACAGAUUCUCUUAUAGAAAGUGCUUUUAAACUGUAAAAGAUCCAUAACUAAUAUUGGGAAUGGUUAUAAAUGACAGUCUUCUCUUUUAGAUUAUGUUGCAUUUAUUACAUUCUACCAGGACUUUAUGGAGACUCUCAAGGAAUUAAUGUUAUAUUUAUGAUAAAAAUACAGAGCCGCUUCUAAAUAGCAUUUUCAUCAUAUUAACUGUUGCCUAGAUAACAGGCGUAUCUCCUCGAGCACCUCGAUUCUGGUUUAGCACUACAGCUUGCAAAUUAAUACAGUCAUUAUAAGACAGCAAAGCUAUAUCACUUACCAUUUCAUUAUUGUUCAAGUCAAAAUCCAUAUUUUUUCAGUUUUCCCUAGGGUUACAAACUGGAUAGGGAAACGUUAUCAUCUUGCAGAAUAAUCUCUCAAGACUCACUCUCUUUGGUGUUAAGAGGAGCCGUUAAUCAUAUUACAAUAAUUUUCAUAUUAAUAGGUCCCGUGUAAAGACAGAGUUAAUGCUCUCCUUCUACAGUCAAUCCUCCAACACAGUUUUUUUUUAUAUACAUAUAUCUGUGCAUAUAUAUAUAUAUAUAAAUAUAUAUUUUUAUCUGCUUGGAACUAGAUUAGCACAAAAGAUAUCACGUCCUACUCAGUGUAUGAAUCAGGGUCAAAUCAACAGCAAACUCUUAAAUUUUUAAUCAAAAUGGCAAUCUGUCAUCCCUAAGAGAGUUAAAUAAUGUUUAAGUGAAUAACAUGAAUAUGCUUCAGUGGAAAAUGCAUGGGAGAACUUACUGCAGCACACAGAAAACAUUCCAUGGAAUAUCUAGAAGAUACUUUAGUCCUUAUGUGAGAUGCUGUGAUGCUAGCAUGCAUAUCCACUCUAAAUUAAAAAUCGUCUUUAGACCUGAAUUUUUUUUUCUCAGGAACCAGUACACCCUCUAUUUUUGUGAUCUCAGAUACUGUAAUUUUCUGAAAGCUUCUCAUAUAAUGUUGUACAUUUAAUAAUGUAAUGUUACUUAAACUCAGGGCAUUUUUGGAUAUUUUUCCUUUUUUCUAAUCUGCUGACCUGAGUAAUGUGCUCUGCUCAGGAGAAGUUGAGUGUGAAUUUAAGAAGCUGUCCAAGGGGUCAGGUGUUUGCCUAAUUUUGAGCAGCCUGAAUGUGAAACAAAGGUGGGUCGGGUCUGCAGGGACUUGGGGGUGACCCAGCUGUACUGCUGCUCUGCCCCUGUGCUGCCCCAGCUCGCUGGGAAGCCUCUCUGUGUGCGAGCCCGAGCACUGAGCUGGAGUCGCGGAUAAUGAGCCCCAUGGAGAGCAGAAUGGAGACUGGAGCACGAGGCUGACUUGAUGUGGCAGUCUGGCUCCUGAAGCUGGUCGGCUUAGCCCAGGAAGGAGCCCGCUGCCUCUUCCUCGGCGGUGUGGGAAGAUGCUCCCUUGGUAAACCUUCACUUGCUGUCAGCAUCCGCUCUCCUUUUGCAAAGCCCUUCUACUGUAAUGAUGCCAUCUCUCUCAAUGUCCUUUAUUAUUCUCCUCUCUGUCAUUCCCAGGGGGUCUGAUUAAAAUCUGUGGAAAGCUCUCUUGGAUUUUACUGGCUUUUGUACUCUUGCUCUGCUCCUUAAUUUGCUUUUUUUUUCUGUUUUUAACUGCUUUCUGUUUAGGCUCACUUCUGCUCUGUUCUAAACACCCCUCAUCUUUCCCCACUUUUGUGUUUUUGUACUUUUAUUCCUAUUCCUGACCUGCUCGACAACUGUUAAAUUACUUAGGCAGUGAGUAAAAUGCAGAUUAAAGAAGUGCUUUCAGCUUUGAGCUAAAAUGUGUUGACAGGUCUCACAAGAGGCCUAGAGGAGACAUGGGAGAGUGGCAUCAUUUUGGGAGAAGAAAAGCUAGAAAAAUUACUCUCAUCAGAUCUGAGGCCUCACCAUGAUUCUGUGGCAGCACUCCUGGCUGCCUUAAUGAGGUUAUGAAUCCACCAGCAGUGUGUGGAAACAGUUUUAAUUGGUGAUAAUUUUAACACUUGUUUAACAAAAUUUAAGGCAGCUGGAAUGGGGUUCUAUCUGUGCUAUACUGCUGUAAAUCAAAAGUAAUGUUAUUCAAACUUAUGUUCUUCUAGAAUAGCAGCACUUUAGCAGAAAUCAGAUUCCAAAGCACUCCUGAAUUUCAGAUAUUAUACUGUAUUUCCAUUUAUAACCUGACAUAAUUCCCACACAGCAUAUGGUAUUAAUCUGGUGUAAACACCAUGUUAUGAUGAUACUCAAACACAUACAGCUGACAUGAAAAUGUCUUCAAGUACAAUAUUUCCAAAAGCAAUUAUGUCUAUAUGGUUGGUAGUUAGUUAGCUUGUGUGAAGUUUUAUUUCUUAUUCAUACAUAUAUGAAGGUUCACAGGAUGAAGCAUGUAUAAAAAAGGAGAUAUUUUCACUGUUUGCAAAAAGGUGGGAAAAAAAUCAGUAGUCUACUUAUUUUGGCCUGUUGGGCUUUUGUAAGGAAAUGUCACCUUCAUGAGUACACAGGAUUUUUACAAUGUUGGAAUUUCCUUUUGUUUGCAUUAGAGGGUAGAUGUAUAGACAAAUGCAAGGAAUAAAAUGACACAAAUUGAAAUUGAUGGUGUUUCUGUUAGAGAAAAUGGACUCCAAAAAAAUGUUUAGGGAAAUUUUGCAAUUCUCAGAGAAAGUAAUACCCUUGAUGUGUGAAUGCCUCAGACAUAAUCUCUGUUGGUAACCAAGCACUUUUCAAUGUUCUCUGAUGAGAGGGGAGGGAGACCAGCACCCCUUGUCCAGGCAGAUGCAUGUGUGAAAUCCUUAAAAAAAUUGCCUAAGAUAGGAGUUGAGCCAAUCAUUUUGUUGAAAGGAGAUAAAGAAAAGCAUGUCUUCUGGAAAGUAAAUGCUUAUGGAUGGUAAUAUUUUUGUUUGAAUGCUUGCCAGUAGGGCCAGAUUUACAGGUAGUGUAAUUUUUCUAGUGUCAUCUCACCCGUUUGAGAUUAAAUUAUUUAUUAGGAUGAAGUGCAGCUUUUUCACAGAUUGUUUCUAGCUCCACCUGGUACCUAGAGUUUCAAAAUUUUUAGCCUUUCCUAGCCCCUUUUUUUCUUCCUGAGGAUCCUUUAUUAAAUAUAUUCCUAAGACAAAGAAAAUAAGGCAACCUCAGUAUCACAUUCUCGUAACAGAAAGGAACUGCAAGAAACUGCUUAACAACCAGCUCUGCACUCGUUAGCUUUAGUAUAAAUCUGCAAUGACUUUAUUUUUAUUACUUCAUACUGGCACUACAGUGGAUAACAGUAGGUUAGACUGUUGAUGGCAUUGUAAAAUGAGCAUUUCCAUCUCAUGCCUAUUAUCCAAAACAAUAUCUUAGUUUUAAAAGAGACAGCUAAAAAAUUUGCAACGGGACAAGAAUAAAUCUGGAACAACUCCACUGAAAAUUUACACCCGUGUGAGCAGGAAUUGAAUUUAGCCCACUUUGCUGAUUUCCUUUUAACGGUUUCUGCACGUUCAAGCACCCACCAGAGAUUAGAUGGAGGCAGCAGAGGCGCUGCUAUCUGCGAUGCAGGCAGGACAGCCGGGGUGAAAGGGUAACGCAUUAUCACACUGCGCCACCUGGCCCAUCCAACACAAUUUGAGCAACCAUAAUUGUAUUGAUUACUUCUUGUGCUCAUGACUAAUGACCUCUAGCUGCAACCUUGCAUUUUUCUAAAUCUUUUAUAUUCUGAUUUAAUAAUAAGAUUUGAUUAAAAAUUGCCAUUAGCCAAUGCCAAUGAUUAGUCAGCAAGACUCAAUGCCGCCAAGUUCCAAUGAGUUUCAUUAUUCUGGAAUUAAAAAGCACAGAGAACUUCUCUGGGUUAAUAAUAACAAUGAUUCUGUCUCAAUCAGGAAUGAAAGAAAACAGCUCUAAUAUACAAAUGCAGCAAAAUGUGUGGCUAUUACUAAUAGCCACAUUUUACAGAGAAGUAUUUGAAGAAUUAAAGGGACUUUGUCACAGAUGGUGGGGACAGUUUGCUUUUGCUUUUUAUAUUUGAUUGGAAAGCCAGUGUCAGAUGGUGUGUGAGGGGGCAUUUUCCUAAGGAAAGACAUUUCCUUUGGUUCAGCAAGAAUGUGGGGCUUAUUCAAAUUCUCCAUGAGAAUCCCCACCACAACAAAACAAGGCAAAGUGUAUGUCAGCAAAAAUGGAUUGUGAUGGCUUUAGAAAAUGACGAGAGGCUUGUCUAGGUUAUUUACCUGCUGAGAAUAUAUUUUACUAUGUAUUUCUUUUUCAUUUUUAAAAAAAUAUGACUUAUUACUUAAAAGGAUAUAUUGUCACAUCGCAGAAAAUAAAAAAAAAAAAAUCUGCCAUCUUCUUUCAAGAAGGUAAGAUAUUUAAACACAAACUAAUUUUUAGACAUGUAGCUAAAUCCUGCUCAAGAGUGUUAGGCUAAGGAGAAACUUAAGUAUAUAUCUAAAAGCUCUGCUGGAUCCGAAUUGGCUUUGGUGUUUCUGUAUUUGGGGUGUGCUAGAGGAGAUGCUCUGUGGGGUGAACAUCUGCUAUGGGAUGUGAUGUUCCCUCAGAUCCCAUUGAAGCUGAUGGAGGACUAGGUGACACCGAAGUCAGUGAGAGCUGAGAGCACUCAGCACCUUUCAGGUUCAGGUCUCUAAAUAAUAAAAGACUCUUGAGACACAGUAAAAGCAUUUCCUGCCCCUCACACAGGAGCAGGAAAGCUGUCCUGUCUCACUUUUAUCCUCCAGAAAACAUGCUAUGUCGCAAACGUGAGUCCCAUAAGAUUUUUAAAGUAUUUGAAUAAAGAAAUACCUUGUUAAAAUACUGCCCACAUAAAAUCUUGUAUUGGGUUUGCAUGCCAAGGUUUUGGUAGAGAGGGAGGCUACAGAGGUCGCUUCUGUAAGAAGCUUCCCCGUGAAACUUCCCCAUGUCUGGCAGAGCCAAUGACGGCUGUCUCCAACACAGACCCACUGCUGGCCAAGGUCAAGCCCAUCAGUGAUGGCGGUGGAGCCUCGUGGAUGGCGUAGUCAAGAAGUGGGAGAAACCCCCACCAAUCUGGGGUGCAACAGCAGCUGGAGGAAGGAGUGAGAAUAUGUGAGAGGAACCCACCCAACCUACCCCCAGGUCAGUGCAGAAGGAGGGGGACGGGCUGCUCUAGGUGCCAGAGCUGAGUGAAACAGGCUGUGUCCCUGCAGCCCAGGGAGGUUCAGGAUGGAGCACAGAUCCACCUGCAGCCCAUGGAGAAGAAGGGGAUGCCUGAAGAAGGGUGUGACCCCACGGGAAGCCUGCACUGGAGCAGACCCCUGCCAGGAUCUGUGUCCCUGUGAAGAGAGGAGUCCAUGUUGGACCAGGUUUGCUGGCAGGACUUGGGACCCUGUGGGGUACAGUCUGGAGCAUCCUGUUCCUGCAGGAGUGCAUCCUGUGAAAGGGACCCAUGCUGGCUGGAGCAGUUCAUAAAGAACUGUAGUCCAUGGGAAAGACUCACAUUGGAGAAGUUUGUGGGGACUCUCUCCUGUGGGGUGGACCCCAUGCUGGAGCAGUGGAAGAGCGUGAGGAGUCUGCCUGCUGAGGAGGAAGGGGCAGAAAGGACACCAUGGGAUGAACUGACCACAGCCCCAUUCCCCCUCCCCCUACUGCUGUUGGGAUGGAAGAGGCAGAGAAAUCAGGAGAGAAGCUGAUCCUUGGAAAAAGGGAGGGUUGGAGGAAAGUUGUUGUAAGAUAUGGGUUUAUUUCUCCAUGGUUUGAUUUGUAAUAAAUUAAACUAAUUUCCCCAAGUGCAGUCUGUUUUGCCAAUGAUGGUCACUGGUGAGUGAUCUCUCCCUGCACUUAUCUUGACCCAUGAGCCUUUCAUUAUACUUUCUCUCCUUUGCCCAGCUGAGAAGAGCAGUGAUAAAGCAGCUUUGGUGGACACCUGGUGCCCAGCCAAGGUCAACCCACCACAAAUCUUUUGUCACCUUCAGGAACAUAAUUUUAAAAUAUUCUUUAAUAAAGUUUGCUAUUGGCAACUGUUGUUUUCCAGGCUUAUUAUAAGUGCCUUUAAAAUGUUUCCAUUAAUUAAGUUUGCUUUUAUGGACUACAUCCAUUUAGUAAAAUUGCAGAAAGAAGUGCUGCCGACACAUCUGUCAUUGACUUCUGUUUGCCUGAGCAUUUUAUACCCCCAUGAACUGCACAGUGGGGAGAGAAAGCCUGUGAAGAAGAAUGAUAGAAAGUGGUGAAUUCUGUCCAGCAAAACAUGGAGGUCAGGAGAGACAGCUGAUUACAUACUCAUGUUUUCCAGGAUUUCAUGAGGAGAGUGGAAAGUUGUUUAAACUCUGGUUACAACAGAAUAGCGCUCUUGAAAUGUACUCUCUUAAAAUAUACAUGAAAUACUCAGAAAAUAAAAAUGCAUAAAAUGUC